rnacentral:rRNA from 1 species
AUCAAAAACAUCACCUCUAGCAUAAUCAGUAUUAGAGGCACUGCCUGCCCAGUGACAAUCGUUAAACGGCCGCGGUAUUCUGACCGUGCAAAGGUAGCAUAAUCAUUUGUUCUUUAAAUAAGGACUUGUAUGAAUGGCCACACGAGGGUUUUACUGUCUCUUACUUUUAAUCAGUGAAAUUGACCUCUCCGUGAAGAGGCGGAGAUAAAAAAAUAAGACGAGAAGACCCUAUGGAGCUUUAAUUAACCAACCCAAAAAACCACAAAUCCAAACCACCAAGGGAUAACAAAACUUUAUAUGGGUUGACAAUUUUGGUUGGGGUGACCUCGGAGCAUAAAAAACCCUCCGAGUGAUUAAAACCUAGGCUUACCAGCCAAAGUAUUAUAUCACUUAUUGAUCCAAAGUUUUUUGAUCAACGGAACAAGUUACCCUAGGGAUAACAGCGCAAUCCUAUUCUAGAGUCCAUAUCGACAAUAGGGUUUACGACCUCGAUGUUGGAUCAGGACAUCCUAAUGGUGUAGCCGCUAUUAAGGGUUCGUUUGUUCAACGAUUAAAGUCCUACGUGAUCUGAGUU